rnacentral:lncRNA from 1 species
AUGGAAAGUGCUACAAUAAAAACAAUAAACAUAUCAAAGAAUAUAAAAAAAUUAGAAUAUGAAAUAAAAGUCUAUAUUACAUGCCAAUUAGAACCCUUCAAAGUUGAAGAAUUAUAUUUCACAUCAGUCAGAUUUUAUUGCUUUUGUUUACAUCUCUCGUCCACUCUUGCACUCAUGCACCACUUCCAAAUGACCUUGGAUCAUUCUGGGUAAUAAAAUCAUCUGUUCUGUUUACAAAUAGAAACAGAUCAGAUUAUAAAACUGGAGAUACAUUUGUUUUGAAUAGUCUAUAACCAAAACACAGAGGGGUAGUAU